UUUUUUUUUGUGGAGAUUUUGACAGAGCAUUGAUUACUAAAAUUAUGAUGAUAUGGUGUUUGUUCACCUUCUUGGACUGGUUCCUUAUAUGGGCUGAGCCGAUGUUCCAGUCGGAGAGCAUACUUGAGAUGGAGUAUAAGGAAGGAAUCGGGAAGCGUUGGGGGUCAUCUGACGGUCCACAAUCAAAGGCUCGGCGUCUCUCCCUCUCUUUCCCGCCUUCAGCUGUUAGGAUCCUUCCAGAGGCUCCAUGGCGAUCAGGGGGUGGAGGGGGGGAGAUGGCAGGGAAGAGAAGAAGCCUCAGGACGGGGCCUCGAGCGGGGAAGGCGGAAGCAGAGGAGGUUCCGGAGAGGGAGCGCUGGGUGUUCCCGGAACUCCCCGCAGGCGCAAUGCCAGCACAGUCGCAGAGCGCAAGACAGAAGCUGACGACGAGAAUUUCAGGUCAAAUCAGCUGAUAGAUUUUCUGGCCGAACUGGAUUUCUUCGCCGAGGAUGAGAGUCGAGGGGGAGAUCCUCCAGACGGCGAUCCGCGACUUCUUCCUCGACAUCUCUUCGCGUGUGCAGACAAAGAGAACGACAGAGGAACAUUAGACGAACCUCUUCCGUUGGUUCCCAGCGUUUCUCCUCAACCUUCUGAUCAGGAAUAUCCUCCGGAAUUCUGGACCUCGAGGCCAUGCGUUAUCAUCCAAUCUUUGCCCGAGAGUGUCACAGAGAAGGUCUGAUUUCCUGCAGAAAAUAUCUGUUCUCUGAGCCUUUCCUUCGGAAUGAUAGGCCUACCAGAUCUCUUUUCUUUGAUCGAGCUAUUCCGUUUUACAAUCGUAGGAGAUUCGACUGUUGUUCGGAGGGUACGCCAUUACCACAAUCGAAUUCGAUGCUGACCGCACUGCGUGGAUACGAUUGGAUAACAAACACAGAGAUGACAUCCCCUCGCUUGAGCGGGAGCUGCGGCUGUCGGUUCUCGGCGGUCGCAUUCUGAAGGAGUUGGUGUCAUUUCGCUACAGCCGCUCGCCGUUGUUCGUCGGAAAUAUAUCUGAGGGAGUGGACGACGAGGCGCUGAGGAGCAUGUUUCAGCGACACGGCAAGAUCGAUCGAGCUUUCGUAAGUUCUUCGAUCGCCAUAGUAAUUGAUCUUGAAAUCAUCUUCGCUGGCCCCAAUGUUCUUGGGGAAGAAACACGAGCGGCUCUUUUAUGGGAGAAUACGUGGUGUUCCAGAUUGUAAGGGACGCCAACGGCCGGAGCAAGGGAUUUGGAUUCGUGGAGUACACCGUCGUAUCAGAGGUAUGAAGAAGAAACAACUCCGUCGACUUUGAUUCCUUGGAUUGCCGCGGCGAGGGAGGCGACCUUAGGCCUUCUUUUUCUUUCCCUCUCAGCGGUGGGCGGACGAGCGGGAAAUAAUGCAUUACAGUCGUCAAGGUUUGUUCAUUGAGCGCGGAAGAUGGCGAGAGUUCUCUCUGAAUCAGGCAGUUUCGCUCGGUGUCCACGGGUUGCCAAUGCACUCCAUGUGGGUACGUCCUUAAACACAGGAACAGGAGAUCAGGAGAUCAAAGUUUUUCCUUUCUCCUAUCUGAAAUGGAAGAAAGAGAAAUCCAGUGGGCGAUCUCACUUUAUCGGUUCACGUUUUCAAAUGACAGCAAACCAGAACGAUGCUGCUUGAUCUCUUCGGGAGCUACGGGAAUAUCUUGGGACAUCACAUCGAUACGCAGAGCUCCGUCGCUUUCGUUGACUUCUCUACUCAUGAUCUAGCUGACAAUGGUGGGCCUAAUCAUGUGAAUUACUUCGCAGAUCUAGUGAUUCGUAAAUACUGAUUUCUCCACGCCUUCGCAAUCGGGAUGGGGAUCGCUUCCGUUAGCCCGGAGGAACCUCGAUGGCCAUCAGAUUGAUGGGAGACGGCUGACGGUGUUCUUCACGAGUCCGGGAAAGAAGGCCGUGGUGACCAGUCCACUUCUUGACUGACGUCGUCUUCUUUUUAUUUCCUUUCCUUCUUUUUCCUCCUGCGGUGAUCGUUUCUGUUCAUCCCUGACCACAGCACAGGAGGAUGGAGAAUGUGGCAACUAAGACGUUUGAAUCGAUUGAGCAUCGUAAGGACCUUGUUGUUCUCCUUUCCGAUUACAGUUUCCACCUGUUUUUUCAUGGCCUGUUGGAUCCGCUUUUCAAUCCGUCCUCAGGCCUCCAACUCUCCAAUUCAAGAGCACCGCGUUCUGGGGCUGUUUCUCGUCAAGAGCUUGUGAGCAGAAUCCUCUCUCUCUCUCUNNNNNNNNNNNNNNNNNNNNNNNNNNNNNNNNNNNNNNNNNNNNNNNNNNNNNNNNNNNNNNNNNNNNNNNNNNNNNNNNNNNNNNNNNNNNNNNNNNNNNNNNNNNNNNNNNNNNNNNNNNNNNNNNNNNNNNNNNNNNNNNNNNNNNNNNNNNNNNNNNNNNNNNNNNNNNNNNNNNNNNNNNNNNNNNNNNNNNNNNNNNNNNNNNNNNNNNNNNNNNNNNNNNNNNNNNNNNNNNNNNNNNNNNNNNNNNNNNNNNNNNNNNNNNNNNNNNNNNNNNNNNNNNNNNNNNNNNNNNNNNNNNNNNNNNUCUCUCUCUCUCUCUCUCUCUCUCUCUCUCUCUCUCUCUCUCUCCCUCCCUCCCUCCAUAUAUGCAUAUGCGUAGAUAGAAAGAUUCUUGAUUAGGCUUUUUACGGAAACUUUUUAGAAGAAAAUAUUGCAUCUUUCAGUGGUAGUACAUCUGUUCUUCCGGGUCCCCUUCUGCAGGCAACACGCGGACCCUUUGGACCGAGGAUUCAUGGCCAACCGACGCAUAGAAACGCGAUUUCCAGCCUUCCCCACCCCGCGGAGCAGCUGCACUGGGCGCCCACAGCAGCGAUCCGCCGCCCUAUCUGGCCGACGAGCGGCGGCGGAGCCCUGCCGCAACUGGGGUAUGUUGGCUACCCACCCCCAACCCCCGGGGAGGAAGAGCUGGCGUUCCAUGACUCCUCGCCGAGUAGCAGAGGCCAACCGCCGCCGCAGCCGGCCUAUGGCGUCUACCCCACUGGCGGCGGCCCCGCGCAGGAAGCAAUGACCCUCUACCUGAUCCCGCCAGCGAGCGGCGUUCAAGACGCCCCGUUGCGGGCGCAUGGCUACCACGCCGCUACUUGGGUAACAUCGGCUCCGUUCGGCCCUGGCGUGCCGCUGCCGGCGCACGGCUACUACGCUGCCAGGGUUGGGCCGCCGGAGGCGACAGCCCGCGAGCCUCUGCAGGGAUGGCAACCCACCUACACUCCGCCCCGGUCCCCAACUUUGCGGCGCUCCUUCGCCGACGCUUUGCGAUCACCGCGCAGCAUCGUUAGCGAUGGCGACGGCGGCAGGGACGGCUACGAGAGUCCUCGGGGCAGCCGCCUGCAGCAGCGCACCAGCGGGAGCCAAUGAACAGUGCGCUACGUGAACCCCUUUCCUCGGGAUGAAGUUUCGUGCCCCAGGAAAUAAAAGAGGAAAUAAAGGAGGAAAAGUUUCGUGGCCUUUUGCACGACUUCAGCUUACGAGCGUUGUUGCUGAAAAGGUAAGAUGUCGAUUCUGGGUAAGCCGAUCAUGAUCGCUCGUCGAUCCGAUCAGAAUGAUCGACGAUCCGAUCAGCCAAUAAGCGCUGAUCGUGAUCGUCGACUGUCGAUCAUGACGAUCCGAUCGAUCAUGAUCGGGUGAUCUCCAUAUAAUAUUAUUAUAUUAUACUAUGCCUAUAAUACGUAUAUUAAAUAUUUAUAUGUAAAUAUUAUAUAUAAAUAUAUAUUACUACGUAUGCAUAGGCGUAAUAGAUAUUGAUAUAUUAGGCCUAUAUAUUAUGUAUAAAUAUGCAUACGAUACAUGUAUUAAAUAUGUAUAUAAAUAUUACAUAUAAAUUUAUAUACUACUAUAAAUAUGUUGGCAUAUUAUAUAUUUAUAUAUUAGACCUAGGUUUCAUAUAUUAGUAUAUAUAAAUGUAUAUUAAAUAUAUAUAUACAUAAAUAGUAUAUACAAAUAUAUAUAGGUAAGUACACUACUAAGCAUGCAGAGGUGUAAUAUUUAUAUACAUAUAAAUAUGUAUACGCUAUGUGUAUUAAAUAUAUAUAUAUUACAUAUAAAUAAGCCAAAGCUUAUAAAGAUAUGUAUUAGGUGUAAUAAAUUUAUUAAGAUAAGUAUAAAUUAAGCUUCCUCAUAUUGUAACAUAAAUGUAUAUAUACAUAGAUUAGUUGUAAUUCUUUAUUACAAUAUAUAUAUUUGUAGAUAGGGACAUUAAAUGAAAUUUUUAUGAAUGAGUAUAAUUAAAUUUCUUAACACACAACAAAAAUAUAUAUAUUUCUUUUUUGUUGCCGAGGGUGAAGUUGUUAGAGACAAAGUCAAUCUCCAAGAGUAGGAGGAAAGAGAGGCUGCAGCUUUGAGAAGCUGGGGUUUUGGAGAAGCCCUUUCGAUUGAGGUGAUGGAGGAGGGGUGAGAGACAAAGAUAGAAAGAGAGAGGGAGAGACACCUUAAGUUGCCUUGGCAGCAAAAGCAAAGUUAGUAGUGGAAAUGUUAGUCUCCAAAGACAAGAGGAGAGAGAGGUGGCAGAGGUUAAGGUAAGUUUUUGAAGAAUUAGUCAUUUAUCAUUAUUCAUUAUCCACUAAUUCUUGAAACUUGAGCAUUAGUAAAAAAAUUUUCAAUAAAAACUAUUACAUUUAAUGAAGUGGCAUAUUCUGAUAAUCGUGAAUCUACCUUGAGGGUCUAAACUAUGUCAUUGACCAAAAAAUUCAUAGGCAAUAAGCUCAAAUAGAUGUGCAUCUAUCUCACUGAUCUCAACCACUACAUCUCAAGUAUCUCAUUUAGUACUUCCCAAUUUUAGAGGUAAAAAAUCUUGUAUUAGCAGCAACCUUUGAGUUUUAAGAGUGACUUCAUUAUAGAUUCUUUUCCCCUUGACUAUAUAACCAUUCCCAUGAAAAUUUCAUUACUAAGAAAUUCACAUAUUGGCAACUUGAGUUCAUCCAACAAUUCCAAACAAAGAAAAUUAUGGGUGAUGCCACAAUCCACUAUGAUAAUGACAUUUCAACCAUGACCAUGUGCCUAUUGGAUGAUCUCCUUUAAUUUUAUUGUGCCUAACUAUAUUAAUCCAACCACCAAAUUUAGGGAUACAUGUGUGAUGAAUAAUUUUCCUUCAUGUUGACUUUUCUUCAAAAGGAGUCCAAUCAACCUCUAAUUUCCAUGCCAAUACCCUUGUUAUCCUCACACCAAUAGGAUAUGGAGUUAUUUUUCAACAAAUUAUAAGGUCAUUUUUUUCACAAUAGAAGAAUAAUCAUUUUACCUAUUAGGUUUUUAAAUUAGCUUCAAUUUAAAAUAAUCAUCUUCUACUUUUUUCAUUUCAAACACUAGAUUGAGGGUAUGAUUUUUUUGGUCCCUAGCUAGAAGUCGUAUUGAGAAGUGGAUUGAAAGAUUUCUGUCAAUCCUUGUCUCUAUUGAUUUGUGAUGAAAAACUUAAGUUUCCUUAUAUACAUUAAAUUCUUGAGAUAGUUGACUUAGAAAGUUUACAUUGAUCAAUGGCCCAUGUCUUGGAAAGAUUUUGGAGGUAUUCUUCAACUUGUAUGGAGGCAUCUAUGAUUUCUUGUAGGCCUUUAUCUCAAUAUUCUGCAGUUGAACCAUCUUGCUUCUAGAUGAAAAAUAUUUGAUAGGUGUUCUCUAAUAUAACUCUUACAAGCCUUCUUCCCAGUGUAAAAUCUUAUCAAUCUUGCAAAGAAUAUUUGUCUUCAGUCCACAAGAAUCAUUCUAAUGUGAUGCCCUCUAGACUCAUGAUGAUGACUUCAAGUUGCUCUCCUUCUGGAAUCUGGUUUAACUUGAAGUAACUUUCAACAAAAUGAAUCCAUCCUUUUGUAUUUUGUUUAAAAGAUUGGAAAUUCUCCACAUCAGUUCAAUUGGCAACACAUGGUAAGAGAAUUUAUGUGGAUUUUGAUGGUACCUUCAAGGAGGAGGGUUGGGGAGGUGUAGCAAGCUGCCAUCUGAUCUCUCUCAAGAAUUUAUUUUCACAAAACAACGAGAUGAGUACAUAUGUUAUCUGAAGUUUGCACAAUACUUACUCAUGCAUUGUAGGACUUGACAUUGAAUGUCUCCUCUCUUGUCAGUUGUUGCUCCUUAAGACCUUUUCUGUCUACUUCUAAUGCUUGUAGACAUGUGUCCAUGAUUCCUAGCACCAUUGACCUAGUUCAUGGUUCUUAUAUUAAUUUAGUACAACUUUGGAAGGAAACAUAUCUUGUAGGUCUAGAACUAGAACUAGAACUAAAUUUGGUAUAACUUGGGAUCAAGAAGACAAGAGUUGUUAAAGGAAGAUAACAAAACUUCGAUGGAGUCCUAAUUGGUAGGGGAAUAGGAAAAGGUUUAGGAUCAUGGCCUCUAUUAAAGUCUCCCUUCUCUACCCUCUCUUACAAAAUACCCAUUUUUAUAGCCCUAGCUCUUUUUUGGAUGGUAUUACCCCUACAUAGCCAUUACUCUUAAAGAAUCUCUUAGACUAGCCUCCAUCUUUACGUCAAUAAGAGAGUCUAAUCAAAUAUCAUGGGCUAGAAUUACUAUGAGGUAUUGUCUUCAAUAUUGAGGACUUAUUGUCAAUUUCUGCAUUUAUUGCUCUAUAUUUAUGUUAACAACAACCCAAAUAGUAUGACUAGAUAAUACCAUUUGUGCACAUAAUACAUAGGAUAAAUUCAUUUAGACACUAGACAUGCCACAGCUUGGUAGAGUUCUAUUCAAUUCUUUUUUCUCAUUUUAUGAAUCAAGUUGUAAGUUUUUAGGUUUCUUACUAAUUUAUAGUUUCUCAUCACACUUCAAGAACCCAUUGAUAGAUUUUAAUUAUUUUGACUAAUUAUUCAACCAAAGAAGAGUGUUAAUCAUUUCAAUUAAUUUUUUUUGAAUUCCCCUUUCAUAAGUUUUGAGAGUUGGUUACAUUUCAAAUCUUUAUCAAAUCUACAUAUAACUUUAUCAAAAUAAAUCAUAAAGAUUAUCGCAUGGACAGAGAGUCAAGUUUGUUAAGGUUAUCAUACAAAUGGUUGUGGAAUAUACUAAUACGUUCCAAAGAUCAAAAUAAUAGGAUUGUGAAUCUUCCACUUCAAGAAAAUCAUCACAAGAAAAGUAAAGGCAGUGACAAGAGCACAAGAGCAUCACAUAAUCAUGACAAAGGACCAAACAAAUCAGGCAAUGCCCCUAGGAAGAAAUCCAAUGAUAAGUAUACGUUGACCAUUACUAUGGCAUGCUUUUGUCCUUAGUAUACACAUAUGAGAGCCAUGUAUAAUCCAUUUUACACUAUAACAUUCCUCACAUCUUCCAAAAGAUCUCAGAAUAAUAAGAAAAGGAUCAUGAAUCACCAUUCUGUAUAAGAUAAUUCUCAUUGGAAAAUUCAUAGAUUUAAGAGUAUUUCACAAGUUGAGAAGACAAUUAAUUAUUUACUAUCAUGAUUUUUGUCCUUACCUGAAGUCAUAUAAUACCUGAAUUUACAUCAUCAAAAUUAGUGUUUUUGGCAACACUAAUUGUUUGUGUAAUAGCAAGACCAUUCUCAAUAAGAGUUUUGGAGUUAACACUAGUUCUCCCUUAUAAAUUUGGUAUAAUUGCAUUGAUAUGCAUAACGAAAUCAGAUUUAGGCUUUAUUUUCUUUCAUACUUUACUCUAGAAAGAUAUAAGGUAAAACACUACUAGCUUAUUGAAGUCCAAAGGUGCCAAGUAAAUGGGAAAGCAUGUCUAUUAUUAUUCAUCAUGCCACAAUAAAUUAAUUAAAAAUUAUGGAUACUCCAUGGCAGCACGAAUAAAUUAUUGGUGAAAAAAGCUGAAUCAUUUUCACAGCACUCUUUUGUCGCCCAAAUUAAUAGUAUCUACAUUUAUAUCGCUACCUCUCUGCACACUACGCUUCUUGAUCUGUAUUUUUUUUAGUCAUCGAGAUAAGCUUUUUGGGUGAAUAAGCGCAAGAAAGAAUGAUCGGAAGAAAGAUAAAAAAUACCUCAAGGCCAGUUUAUGCUGGUCUGUUUUUUCAUUAAGAAUCAAUCUACAAAGUGGACAGCAUGCAUCAUCUUAUCUGGCAGGUUUCCACCACGAAAUCUUCAUGUUGUUAGCAAGUUAACCUCCAUAUCCAUUAAUGUCAAUGUAAUUUAGGUGUCUCAUCCACCUCAGACCAUAUGGUAUUUAAUUGGAUCCAUCACGUGGGCUUUUGAAGCUUUACUAGCCUAUUUAAAGAGUGGAAAAGGUCCUCCAGUUUUCCUUGAAACGCUAGUGAGAGAGUUAGAAUGAGAGGAAGCAGGGUAAUGAGAGAUCAACUGGGCAAAUUUUUUCCCCCACUUCUCUUCCUAUUAUAACAUUAUACACAUCUUGGAAAAAUAACCAAUGAACUGUUGAAGUACCCAGAAAUAGAAACUAGAAACUCACGCGCUUGCUGUACAGUGUAGGGUGGACAUGGACAAUCUGGCAUCUCUUCCCCAUUUCUAAAGAUGAAAUGGCAAGUCAUCAAUGCUCAGAAAGGCUGUACACAGAAUCCACAUACCUCUCGACGUCCCAGAGGAAAGAGCCAAACGUGACAGCUUCCAACACCAAGUGUUUCAACGAAGGGUAGGUGACUGAGACCGGCUCAUCUUCAACGUUCUGUCCCGCCUUGUCCAGGAAAAGAGCCCGACUAUGCUUCUCAAUCAGAUCGACUGCCUCUCGCGACUUCAGCCUCGCACAGAUCUGCAGAGAUUUGGGGUCAAACUUCAUAACGUAGCUCCUCAGAUUUUUUAUUCUUCUGGGCCUCCUCUGAGAGUACGAAGGGUAGGCAGCAUCAUCCUCUGUGCAGGCAGGGCCAAAGGGGUGCCGCUGCUUUAUGUACUGCGGAUGAUUCACGCUUGGCAUCUGGAUCAGGUAGCUCAAAGGGUAAUCUUUGCUGGUAAGAGAGAAGAGGUACUCCAGAUGGUGCCUCAGGCAGGCCGACUUCAGGAAGUAGCCGUACAUGAUUGAGGCAGCGUAGAUUCGCCCGAGCUGGAGUCUCUUGAUCUGAGCUCUUGACUGGUUCAUGGUCGCGUCGAACGCACCCGUCCGACCAAGGAUGUUCAACAGGUGGAUCUUGACCAUCUCUAGGGAUUCAUGGUCAUAAAUGGAUUCUAACUCGUCCUCGUAUGAUCGGCAACUGUCCAAAGAUCCGCCAAUCAGCCUGGAGAGAUGGGGAAACAUCGGCACUUUGAUUUUGGAGAAUUGGUGGACAAUCAGCAUGUACAUGACUUCUUCGACGGCAAUCUGGCACUCGCCCUCCUUCAUUUCUGCUAUCCUUCUGUGCUCAGCAGAUAAAAUAGAGUAUCACUCAUGGGUUUUGGAUGAGAUGUAAAAUGAAUAGAGUGACAUGUAGGAAGAAGAAUCGCAUAUAUAGAGAUGCAUUGUCAUCCAAAGCAGAGAGAAAAUAGAAAGAGAAGCAGCAGGUCAAAACUCAACUGUAAGGUGAAAGGAUCAAAGACACUAACUAUGGAUGUUAAAACACUAUAUAGCAACAUUCAUAGAGUUAAUUCCGACAAGAACAGUAUCCCAAUUAUAAAGCAUGUAUGCAUUGGUUAGCAAAUACUAGGAGAAAGAAAAUAAUUGAACGCUAACAAAUCCAGUGUGAGAUAUAUCAGAAGAAGAGGAAAUUGAUGCCAUUGAGGAAAUUGUUGAAAAAAGAAUAAUGGACAAAGUAAGGAUACUUGGAGAAAGAAUUACAGAUUUAACAUCCAAGACCAACUUCGAAUAUACACUUUUUAGCUCUAUAGGUGAAUAGAUUAACAAAGGAUAUCCAAACACACAUGUUUUUAUGUAACUAGUUUAUGUACGAAAAUCUUUUCAUGACACAGGGAAAAAUCGCUUUUGAGCUAAAUACAACUGCUAAAGGAUAUCUUCAAACCUGAUUGGUUUCUAACAAAGGAUAUGUGAAGCACAAUCCUCUUCUAAGAAGAAACGAACAUCCAGUUUAGUUUGAAUGCAUAAAGUUAACUCAAAAACCUGUUUCAAGUGUCUAUUCUUGCUCCCAGAAAGAAGAAAAUUACAUACAUGUAUUCUGCAUGCUUGGCUAAAAUAGAAACUACCUGUGUAGUACUCAAUAAUGUUCUAAAGUGAUUGAACAAUGAAACUUCUAUGUUGCAUAAAUUUGGUCAUUCUGUUAUAAAUCAUGUUAACACGAUUAAGUUAUUCAAACGAAAAUGUUUAGGUAAAUGAGUGAGGUUAAUCCAAGCCCUUAUCUGAGUAAUAACGAAAGGGACAAUAAUGACGACAAUAUGAGGAGAUGAAAAGACAGGAUGUGUACGAAUUCUAUCAAUAUGGUACCACAAUAAAAAAACAAUUUCGCUACCGAGAUAUAGUUUAACGUAAUGCUUUAAAUGAAUUUCACUUUAUUUCGGUAUCAUCCAUUAAGGAAAAACAUGACGAGUAAAUGACAUACGCACUCCCUGUCAACAUUAUUGGAGCAGAUUAUUAUGUCCUCUUUAAAUGCAAGUUACUCUGAUUUUAGAGUUAAACAGUAAUAUAAUGUUUCAACGAAAAACUACCAACAGUUCAUAGGAGAACCACUUAUCGUCUAAUUAAGCCAUUAUCAGUUUCUGACUCAUUCAAGCCACCAGAACAACAUUUAUAAAUCUUUAGCAACAAGAAAACCCUCUCAUCUACCACCGCUGAAAGGCAUCACCUGCUACAAAUUCCUGAAUAAUGGCCAGCUGCCACAAAGCUCACUGGCCGUAUUAAUCCAAAGUGUCUCAUAAUUUUCAAUGCCACACUCUCCAAUAUUUUAUAAAUAUGAUAAAGUUGAAGACAGAUGAAAUUCACAUUUACAUAUUUAGAAUCUGGAAAUACAAUCCCGUGGCAUAUUAACUUUGAUAAUAAGUGCCUUGGACAUGAUAAAGAUUUUCUACUUUAUAAGACCUGCAAGGGCUGAUUACACUGUUUUCGUAAAAAUACCAUUAACUAGGCGAAUCAAAGAUAGUCUUUCCCACACCUUUCUCAUAUUUCUAUUGCGUUCCGUACUGUAACAUGACAGAAAGGCCUUCUUAAAACUAAUGACAAAUCGUCCGUUUUUAAACAAUAAUGAAAGAGCGAAGAACCAGGCAAGUCAUGGUAGCCUUUUCUCUUCGAUUUUUUUCCAAACACUUCACAUAUACAUGGACGCCAAGGGUAUAAUAAACGUAGUUGAAGUUAUGAAAUUCAACCAAAGUAAGAAAAAAAGCGAUGAAGGCAUGACCAAAACUACUGAACUAAUAAAAAGGAAUUUCAUUUUGAAGCAGAUCUGUGAAUUUAAUCGAUCAUCAGCUUCGUAGAGUAGUGCUUACUCGUGCAGGCAUGCUUGAGCAGAGCCUACGCUGUGAUCACGGCGAGCAACAGCCCCAUCUCUCUCCGAAGCCAAAUUUUCCAGUUGUUCCGCGGCAGCAACAGGGAAGAUGUGGGGAUGGUCGUUCAAUAUACCACCGAGGAACUUCCCCGCUGGCGACUCGGGCACAAGCGGCGUGCUUACACGCCUCGAUUCGCAUUUAUUUGAUUCAGCCCUGGGAAUUGAGAUGGAUUUCCCUUUUCUCGCACGAAAUUCAACCACACCCUGGAGUGAUCACGGAAGAAAAAACAUUGCAAUCAUUGGGAGGACAUACAGACAAGAUUCGAAUGAUAAGGCACACCAGCAGUUCCCUCUAAUUUUCAAACCCUAACUGGCGAGAGCACUCAGGAGAUUGUAACAACAAUCAAACACGCCGCUGUUGCUAGGUCGGCUAACCAAGGCAUUUUCGGCAACCGUAAGGUGAAUAUAAGAACGGAAAUUGAUCGCCUUGAAAAGAAAAUCGGGAGAAGGAUAUGACACCUGAAAUCCAGCCGCAAAACCAGGCGGAAACCGAGCGCUGCCCCGAACCCUGAGACGAAAACGCCCACCUCCGACCCUCGCCGCCACCGGGGACGCUGCCGGCGACGCCUCCACGGCGGUGAUCGCUCCAAAUCGAACUCCGCAGUCCAUUAACAACGGCGCGCACUUGUACCCGACCGACCACGCCUCGAGGCUGGAGCCCCGAGAAACGCAAACCUAGAUUAUAUCACCCGCAGAUCCCCACGGUCCGCCGACUCUUCUCCCACCUCCCGCUGAUAGUGAACGGCGGCAUGGAUCAGGGCAAUCAAUAGGUAUGGCCCGCGAAACGAAGAUUGAGGCGCCACCUCACCCGAUCGUCAGAAAUCUCUAGGGCUUGCCGUUCCCUGGUGACAAUAGAGGAGAGAGAGAGAGAGAGAGAGAGUGAGAGAGAGUCAAAGCCCCCGGUUUCCGGAUUCCUAGGUGCUUUCGGGCGAGGACGGCAGAUGACAAACAGCUGGCUUCGAAGUCCACGUCAGCCUGGGCUCGGCCCAUAAUUCUUUCACGUUUCGGCCCAGCCCAAACCAACAGCCGUGGACCGGACCGGGUCGGGGAAACCCGUGUCUCAUCGGUUGACCCAUAUGGAGCAUUCUCGACGCCGACGUCGAAAAUUCGAAAUCAUAUGAAUAAAAAAUAAUGACCUGAUAUAAUACUUAAUUCUCAAACGAAUCUCUUUGGCUUAGAGCGGCUAAAUAUCUUUUAUACAAUUAUCACUCAUCAUAAAAUAUUUACAAAAAUAGCCACCAUUCUACCUAAAACAUAUUUGGCAAAUAAGCGUGUAACACUCAAGAAAUAUUCUAUAAAUAGUUUCCUAAAUCAUGGAGCAUGGCCCUUCGUACCAUGUAGACGUGUGAACAUCUUAGGGCUUCAAUGAUUGGGCAUGUUUGGGUGAAUUAGACUUUAAUUAUAUGUUCAUUAUACAAACAAUGGCCAUAAAUAUUCUCACAUUCAUCCAAAAAAGGGGAGUGAUGAAUUAUCGUUGUUGACACUUGCCACAUGUGUUCGUUAAGUGCCAGCUAAGGUGACGCAAUCGCACAUCCUUCUUUGGAUAAGAGUUUCUUUUUUUAGAAAAAGAAAAAAAGGGUUGGUGUCUUGAGCUGGUUUGGAACAACAUCUUUAAAGGAAAAGAAAGGGGCAUCUUUGUGGGCCAAAAGGGUUAACAUUCUAACGAAGGGAGCCAUGGCUCUGGUCAAAUGUGUCAACAUUAUGUAAUGGCCUACAUUACCUUGUAGUUUUUUUUUAUUUUAAUUUAUGCUUAAAUUUAAUUUUUAUUUUUAUCCCUUAGUUUAAGGCAAGGCAAGUUUGGGCACCAUUUUUUAGGUCAUCUCUAUUUUUAGUAUUUAUAUUAUAAAUGUACUACAUAUGGUUAAGAGCAUGAAGAUGUGCCUUUGCUCUUUGAAGGCUUGCUAAUGAGAAACCGUUGAAGAUAAAAAUCAGAAAAUAUUUACAAGCUAUUUAUGGCAAGUACUGCCAUGAAAGAAGCUGACAUAGACCUCAAGAGAACAUUUUGAGCUCUGAAAACUAAUGUGAUACACUAUGAAGAGAUCCAACCACAUUAAAAAUUUUAGCUUUUUAAAAAAUUUCCGCAAAAAAAUCCUUCUGACCUAUCUUACCAAAGCAGCCAUGAUCUCCAUCAAGUUCAUCCUGUUCUAGUCACCAUGUUUGUGGGCUGAAGCGAAUGGGUGCUAGAAGCAUAAUUGGCUGAUAUUAUGGGCAGAGUUUUUUUUCUUGGGGUUCUUUCUACUUAUCCAUUUUAGAAGUAAAUGUUAAAAUAAUGUGAAUUCAGUUGACUUAAUUCGAUCUACAUCGUUACAACCUGGGUUGGUUCGAUAAUGUGAUGUGUAUGCGGACUAUAUAUCUCAAUAAGUCAACGCCUUAAAGAAACUAAGCAUUUUCAAACGUGAGCCAUAACGUUGAUACUGCGGAAAAAUAGUGAAAAUUUUGACCUAUGAUCGAAGUUCUAGCUUCACCGAGGCCUCUUCUGGAAGCCCGAGCUAUGGUAGCCAAAGAGCCUCCAACCAACCAUGUGGUCAACCUCUCGGCCCGAUCCAAUGGCCCUCGGCCCCACCAUGCGGUGGCCAAAAGCUUCACUGACACCCGUCCUCGUCGUCUUUGUCGCAGGACUCGUUUCUCGCCGGACGCGUUGACCAGACACGUCCAGGCAUGUCGUCGUCAUCUCCUCCAACCCGCAGAAAAACAACAGAUUUUCGGGCCGCGAUCGGAACAGUCCAGUGGACGCUCAGUCGAGAGCCAUUUCGGAGAAGAAGAAGAAGAAGAAGAAGAAGAAGAAGAAGAAGAAGAAGAAGAAGAAGGGUAUCAUCGUCUCUGAUUGCCUCCUUUGGAAGCAGGAAUCUCGGAAAGAACUUCAAAUAGGAGAGACAGAGAGAGAGAGAUAGAUCGAGGAGGAGAGAGAGAGAGAGAGAAGAAGAAGAUCUGAAGUGAGGAGCCAUUUCCAUGGUGCUCCACUUUCUGCAUCCCGGAUUCCCGGAGUCGCAGAGGAUCCUAGUUUCUGUAUGUGUAGGUAACGACUGAGAUUGAACAAGUGGUGUAUAUCGUUCGGUUGGCGAUGGAGAGAACAGCAAUCUACAGACCUCCUCUUUUUCAAUGAAGUCGUCUU
rnacentral:lncRNA from 1 species